AGAAAGUUAGUCUAACCAAGACAGUUGACUUCGGCUCAACAAAUCAUAGUUUAAUCCUAUGCCUUUCUU
rnacentral:tRNA from 1 species